rnacentral:rRNA from 1 species
GACGAACGCUGGCGGCGUGCUUAAUACAUGCAAGUCGAGCGCUGAAGGUUGGUACUUGUACCAACUGGCUGAGCAGCGCACGGGUGAGUAACGCGUGGGGAAUCUGCCUUUGAGCGGGGGACAAUAUUUGGAAACGAAUGCAAAUCCCGCAUAAAAACCUUAAACACAAGUUUUAAGGUUAAAAGAUGCCAUUGCUUGAUUCAAACAUGACUCCUCGUUGUAUUAGCUAGGUUGUGAGUUAAAGGCGCUCCAAGGCGUGGAUACAUAGCCGACCUGAGAGGGUGAGCGGCCACAUUGGGAGUGAGACACGACCCAAUCUGCUACGGAAGGCAGCAGUAGGGCAUCUUCAGCAAGGGAGGGGAAACAGACCGAACUGCGCCGCGGGCGGGUAGAAGAUCUUCGGAUCGUAAAACUCGGUUGGUGGAGUGGAACGUUCGUGAGAGUGGGAAGAACAUCGAGUGACGGUAACUACCCAGAAAGCGACGGCUAACUACGUG